CCCGUAUUCGUCGUGGAUGACUUUGGCACCUCAUCCAUAAGGUCCGUAAGAACGGUCGCUGGAGCCAUCCAUUAAUGUCCAUGCUCCUCACCUGGUUCAUUCUUUCCACCACAGUCAUCAAAGACAUCCUGCUCCCCACACCUCUGUAGCAUGUGUCUUAGAGGUGGGGUAUUGUCAAGACUUACCCCCAUUCCCUUGCUGCUCUGGCAGCACCUCUGAUCAUGUCACAUUUCCCAGGUAACGAUAGACACCUAGGAGAUAUGCACAAUCAUUCCAUGCAGCAGGACAGCCCUGUGAGUGUGGCUGGAACAUAUUACCACCCAUAGCAGCUCCAAAUUACUGACAGCCCAUACACCAGUAGUGUGAUAUGGAGGCUUGUCAGAAUAGGUGUGUCUAUAGUUAGGCACCCUAUUUAAACUAUGGACAGCUAAGCUAUCAUUGCUCAGUUGUUCUGUGCUACUUCCCUAAAACUACCUCUGUUAUUCCUGCUCUCAUGGAUUACUUGACCUUUGGCUUGCCACCCUCACUUCUGAAGCGUUGCUUUGCCUUUUGGUGCCUGGAUAUUUGACAUUUGCACUGCCUGACCUUGUUUUUGCCUUGCCCUUACUGGAUUUGUUUGCUUCGGACUUUAUUUUCU